UCCAUCUUCUUAUUCUUCGUUCUUUGUGGAAGCCCUCUUCCUUAUUCUUUGUCCAGACCCACACUCCAUUGUUCUGCAAUUGCUCACUGCGUUUUGUUUCAGUUCUCCAGGUUUUAAGGUUGGACACUCGAACAAGGAAUUUUGUAAGAACUGUAAACUUUUUUCGAAGAAGGACCAAUCCCCAAUUGGAAUCUCUGAUUGGGGGUUUGAAUUUGAUGCAAUUGUUAGUUUAUGAUUUUUCUUGUGUACUUUAUGUAGUUUUGGUAACCCUUGUUAGUGAUUAUACAAUGAGGUUAUCGAUGUUGGUGUUGAUUCGUUUUUUGUCUUCCAAUUUGUGGACACUCCAAUGUUGUUGGUAUAUUUGAGGUUCUUCUUACUCGUGCCUUACACAGCGUCAAGAGAAGAAUGUCAGAGGAUGAUGCAGAGAAUACAUCAACAAUAAAUCUGUUUUUGAAUUUUCUGAAAAUUUAAACACAAUCACAAAACAUUCAUUUUAUCACAAAAAAUAGACAAUCAACACAUUGAAUCCACAAUAAAUAGAAAAGUUAUGUACACAAGUUGAGAAGUCAUAGAGACUUUAUUUCACCAUUUCAGUGAUAUUCCAGAAAAAAAAAAUUGUAGAAAUCGUACGUACCAAGUCUCCUCAUUCUUGUUCUUCUUUUCUGCCACCUUCUCGUCGUAGGUAUAGACAUCUGAUUUCAUCUCCUCGGUUUCCUUUUCCACCGAUUCUAGUUUAGGUUUUGUCAACUUUUCGUAUAAAUCCAACCCAGCAAGGGUGGCAGAAGGCGCCGAAACUAAUCCUCAGGAAAUGGCAAUUGUUCCAUCCACUGAACCACAAAAUACUUGACUGGGCGUAGACAUGUUUGAAUUGUAGAGAAGGAUUGUGACUUCACAAUCAGGAAGACAAUUCAUUGUUGAGAUAGAUCAUCAGAUAUUAACCACCAUUGAAUGUUUUGGGUUUCGCCCUCAUGGUAGGGAUGCCAACAUGCCUAUACUGUUUGCAUACAACACCUUCAUGCACAGACAAAGAAGAAUGACUGGACUGAUCAAGAGGGUUGUUUUACGUCCUUUCAUUGUGGUUGCUGUAGAAUUUGUAAAAUGUAAUUUCUUGAAUGCAGACCGUAGUGAUCGAGGGUAGUCGGAAAGAUAAAGGCGAGGAGAAUGUUUGAAAUUUGAUAUAAAGUUGUUCAUGUCUCUUGUUAGAAUAGAUUUUAAACCUAAUAUUUUAUGUAUAAUAGGUAGAUACAAAUUUCAUCUUAUAAAUCGAUAUC